UGGGCUGCCUGCCAACAGCCGACCUCAGGGAAUCAAGAAAACUGAAUUUACAGAGGAAGACACUUUGGAGCUGGGUCCCAGAGCAUUCUGCUGAAGAUCUUGCAGAAGCUGUAAAACAAACAGGCGCUUGGCUCAUAAUUUGAGAUGCAAGUAAGAACAACUGUGAAAAGAAGAUUUCAUAAGGAAGGAAUGAAAUGCAAGAAUUUCUGUCCCCAUUGGUCAAAUCCCACUGGAACCAGUAAGAAGAGAGCAAAAUAGAAGAGGAGAGUGAAUCUGGAGGGGCAAAUGGAAGAUAUGUGGCAUGAGAUAUUAGAAGCAUUAUGCCCAGUUAACUAGCCCAACAGUUAAACCGCCUGUCACCAUCUACCUGUGCUGCAUCCUCUCUGCUCCAGCCCUUCUUCAAACCCAGGUCAGUGAAUGGGUCCCCUAU